GAUGAAGAACGCAGUGAAAUGCGAUAAGUAGUGUGAAUUGCAGAAUUCAGUGAAUCAUCGAAUCUUUGAACGCACAUUGCGCCCUUUGGUAUUCCUUAGGGCAUGCCUGUUCGAGCGUCAUUUAAACCUUCAAGCUCAGCUUGGUGAUGGGCGACUGUCCCCCCCCCUCGCGGGGGGGACUCGCCUCAAAAACAUUGGCGGCCGGUACAUUGGCUUCGAGCGCAGCAGAAACGCGGUCUCGAGCCCGGUGGAUCGGCUCCCAUAAGCCUAUUCUUUUAUUUUGACCUCGGAUCAGGUAGGGAUACCCGCUGAACUUAAGCAUAUCAAAAGGGAGGA
rnacentral:misc_RNA from 1 species